ensembl:snoRNA
AAGACUAUGCUUUCAGAGAUCGUUUCUGUAGUUUGUUGUUUGGAAAAGUUUUUCUAAACGUGUAGAGCAUCCAAAGCCACGAAGAAGAGGCGUAGAGUUCCUUCUCCAGUGUGAAGCAGGCUUUUGGUGUUGUUUCAAUGCAAACGCCGUUUGCCAUUGAUGAUCGUUCUUGUCUCCACUUUGGAGAGUAAGAGGGAGAGGACGCGAUCUGAGUGGUU